rnacentral:lncRNA from 1 species
GAUGUACCAUAUUUUCUGUAUCCAUUCCUCUGUUGAAGGGCAUCUGGGUUCUUUCCAGUUUCUGGCUAUUAUAAAUAAGGCUGCAAUGAACAUAGUGGAGCACGUGUCUUUUUUAUAUGUUGGGGCAUCUUUUGGGUAUAUGCCCAAGAGAGGUAUAGCUGGAUCCUCAGGUAGUUCAAUGUCCAAUUUUCUGAGGAACCUCCUGACUGAUUUCCAGAAUGGUUGUACC